rnacentral:lncRNA from 1 species
ACAUUCAAAUUUAAUAAUAACGUCCAUUCGUCACCAUGAAGGCCAAGUUGGUAAUUUCCGUCUGUCUCCUCCUGUCAACUUUGGGAACCGGCGCUGAUGAGUACACUGUCGCGGUCAAGUAUUACGGCACCAAGUCCGGCAUGUCGUCCUGCGCGUCGCGGUCCGUCAACGUCAACUUUCGGUCCCUGGCGACGAAGUCAGGCGUCACUUACAC